AUUCUUUGUCAAGUGAAUUCUGAGAAG
rnacentral:piRNA from 1 species